rnacentral:rRNA from 1 species
CCUACGGGGGGCUGCAGUGGGGAAUAUCGCACAAUGGGCGCAAGCCUGAUGCAGCCAUGCCGCGUGUGUGAAGAAGGCCUUCGGGUUGUAAAGCACUUUCAGCGGGGAGGAAGGCGUUAAGGUUAAUAACCUUGGCGAUUGACGUUACCCGCAGAAGAAGCACCGGCUAACUCCGUGCCAGCAGCCGCGGUAAUACGGAGGGUGCAAGCGUUAAUCGGAAUUACUGGGCGUAAAGCGCACGCAGGCGGUCUGUCAAGUCGGAUGUGAAAUCCCCGGGCUCAACCUGGGAACUGCAUUCGAAACUGGCAGGCUAGAGUCUUGUAGAGGGGGGUAGAAUUCCAGGUGUAGCGGUGAAAUGCGUAGAGAUCUGGAGGAAUACCGGUGGCGAAGGCGGCCCCCUGGACAAAGACUGACGCUCAGGUGCGAAAGCGUGGGGAGCAAACAGGAUUAGAUACCCGAGUAGUC